UAGCUCCGUUCUGCUAAGUUGCAAUUUUGUUGGCGGAGAACUUUUUGUGUUUUUAUUUUGCUGCGAAAAUUUUAUUAUUUCCGUGGUUUUUUUUGAAUUUUCUAAAAAUGUAAGUAAAACUUGUAUUUAAAAGUUGUAAAACACACGAUAUUUCCAGUUUUUGCGCUCUAAUGAUGUUUUUUGAUAUGCUUUCAGGUCGAAAACAACAACACCAGAGAAAUAUGAAAAAUUGGCUGAUAUAAUGGCAACCAAAAGAGAUGUUGCGCAGGGCUUCCAACAGCGACCGAAGGAAGAAGUGAAGGAGUUUUGGGAGGAAAUUGCAAAUGUCCUAAAUGCACUUGGUACACCAUCAAAAGACUCCACACUUUUUUGAAUCUAAAUAAUUAAUGCCCCUAUUGCGGUUUUCAACCCGACUUGGUCGAAUUGAAGUUAAUUCAACUCAACUUCAGAUCAACCAAACUCUUUUUCGAUAUUGCGAACUUCAACUAAGUUCAGUCGAAGUAUGAUUGACGUUUCCAACCUAAGAAAGGGAAAUUUGACAGAUAGUGAAACAGCUAAAAUGUUGUAAACGACAUAUUUAAACAAAGUGAAUAAACAUAUGUAUAUAAUAAACAAUAAAACAUGGAUAUAAGUUUUGAUUUAUAUUACAAUGAUGAAAAUACUGGGGGCAAAAUUGAUGUGCUACGUAUACGAAAAAGCCUUCGUGAUCACUCGAAUCCAUUGGAGCUUCCAAAUGCAAAGUAAGCCAUAGUUUUUUCACAAUUGAAUGAUUUUUUAAUAAUAUUUGCUGCAGAUUCAUAAGUUAUUUUCGAUUAAAUAAAGAAGCAUUUUGUUUUUUACUGAAUGAGAUGAAGGAACAUUUCCACAAACGUGUCCGAGGAACGGCCAUACCUCCUAUAUUAAAAUUAUGCGCAACUCUGCGUUUCCUUGCUGAAGGUGGUUAUCAAAAAUGCAGUGGUUUGAUUGAUGAUAAUGAUUUUAACAUUGGGUUGGCGCAACCUACGAUAUCUUUAAUAAUUAAAGAGGUUCUAAAUAUAAUUGAACGUAUUUGUACCUAAUGGAUUAAAAUUCAAAUGACUUAGGAGGAGCAAAACGCUUCAAAAGUUUCAUUUUAUUCAAAAAGUGCUUUCCCGGGAGUAGUUGGUUGCAUCGACGAGACUCAUGUUCGCAUAACUUCACCAAGAAAAGAAGAGUAACAACUUUAUCUUAACAGAAAGGGCUACUACAGUUUAAACGUGAUGAUUCUUUGUGAUUAUAAAAUGUCUAUUCGGUAUGUGGAUGCUAGGCAUGCAGGCGCAAAUCAUGACUCUUUUGUUUUCAAUGUUAGCGAUUUGAAUGUGCAUUUACAGAACAACAUACAGAAUAACACUUGGAUCUUGGGCGACGCUGGCUAUCCUCUGCACAAAUUUUUAAUGACGCCUUAUCGCUUGGCGGAAGCUUCUUCACCCCAAGCACGCUACAAUACAGUACACUCAAAGGCUCGGAAUAUUGUAGAGCGGACAAUUGGUGUACUCAAGAGUAGAUUUCGAUGUCUUUUAUCUGUACGAGGCUUACAUUACACUCCCGAAAAGGCUACGCAAAUUGUGAAUGCUUGUUACGCAUUGCACAAUAUUUGCCAACACUUUCAAGUAGAAUCUCCGAAAGAAAUACCAUCUGAGAAGAAGAGGAUACGGCGAAGAUUUUAAUUUGGCAAUUUUGAGGCGCUGCACCUCAAAUUGAAUUUAUUGUUUCCAAAUUGUGGCUUUCCUCUUCCUACUUCUGGAAACUUCUCCAU